ACUAGCUCAUUCAAGGUGAUGAAGUAGCAUCCUGGUUUCCUGGUUCUCAACCUACCAGAAUUUUCUUUCUUAUUGAGACCUCACGGCAAUAGAUGAUCAAGCAAAGAAAUAAGAUCAAACAAGUAAAUCUCUUAACUGACUUGGAGCUUGAGUGGUCUGCUGAGGUUGCUACCCUAACUUCUCCACCUACCAGAAGCUACUUACAAGGAGCAAAGCAUAGAAAUUUACAGGUAACUGCUCUUCCUGUGCUGGAGGGUGCAAGGGAGCAGUGAUGUAGCCUCUGAAUCCAGAACACUGAAACCUAAGCAAAUUCAGCCUCAGCUGAAUUUUUUACAAGAGGUUGGUCUUUGCAGCUGAUGAGAUGGGGGAGUGUACUGCAGAGGCCAGAGUGGGUCUGGGGGGUUGGGCCUGGAGAGGUUUGGUUUGCCAGUCUGUGGGCAGAGUUUCUCUAGAUUAUGUACUGUGGGAUGGGCCAGAGACAGGGCAGGAAGCGGGAGGAGAUGGACCAUCAUCUGUCUCUCCUAGAAGGAGGGGCUCAGCUCAGGGAGGAAUCCGCUUCCUGUGCAUCCCAGCUAUGGUCCAGGCCCUGAGUUGAGAUAUUGUUUCAAGCAGUUGGCCUGGUUCUACAACUCUUGACAGGUUGAGGUCCUUUCACUGAUUAUUUCCGCCCUUUACUCUCCUUCCUUUAAUAUUUUCACUCUUGCCUCCCCUUCAUCUCCAUCCUCCAGCACCUUCAAUCUAAUGCCCUUUCUCAGAGGCCUACCUUGGGUUUGAAGGCAAUGAGCUUCAGGAUCAUCUCCACGGUGAAGAGGCCAGUGAAGAGCAUGUUGAGGAUGUUCAUGGCGAUUUUGAACAGGCAGCUCUGACCGUAGUGCUGAUGGGAGGGGCAGAUGCCCAAGGAGUGGGAAAGAGAGAAACCAUUAAAUUGAGGCAGGGAUACACUGACUCUCCCCACCUUCUACUUUCUGUCCAGCCUUCUCAGAGGCCCUCAUCUCAAACAGAGAUCUUCCUUCAAACAAACCCCUGGCAGGGGCUCUACCUCUUAUGGGCAGUCAGGUGGACUCAGGAUCCUACAAAUUGUUUCUUUCUUUGCCAUCUUUGAAAAUGAAGGUUGGCAGAGUUUUGUGUUCCUUCUUUGACUGGUUGGUACAACUUUAUGGACACUCCUGACACUAAAGAGAGCUCUUGCACAAGGUGGCCUCCCUGAAGACAGGUAGAUAGAUAAACAAUCGCCAUACCCCAUGCCUUCCUGACAAUAAUGCACACAAUAAAGCUCACUCUCUCUGUUCUCCAUUCCUUUCCUCUCUCUGUUUUAUCAACCCAGGAUCCUAUAGAUCCUUCCAAAGGUCCCAGAGAGGAGCUCAUCCUUGAGAAGGGACACUUGUCUUUCUCCAAUAGGGAGAAAGAGCCAUCUCUUCUGCUCUUUCUGCCUCCCUUGGCUGCCAGGGAGAAGACAAACCAGAGUGGAUCAUGCACUGGUUACACUUCAUAUCCUCCCAUAGCACUCUCCCCGUGGAAGCAUCUUUGGAUCCGAGCUCUCCCUUGGACUGACCUGCAUGGCCAAGCAGAUGGUGUUGAGCAGGAUGAGGACGAACAUCAGGUACUCAAAGAAGCUACCUGGUUCUUGUCCAGCUCACAGUUCUUGUACUCCUGCUCCCCCUGCUCCUGGAAGGUGACGAUGACGAAACCCACGAAGAUGUUCAUCAUGAAGAAGGCAAUGAUGAUGAUGUAGAUGAUGAAAAAGAUAGAGAUCUCCACGCGGUAGUUGUAGAUGGGGCCCUUGUCUUCCGUGUGGGAGUCGAUGGAGCGGUACAGCAGCCUGGAGGAGGAGACAGGCCCCACAGAGGGAACUGGAGAAGCAGUGACACCUCUGUGGAAUGAUGGCAUUGCUGCUCCUAGGGGUUCCUGGAAUCAGGGGUCCUGAAGACAGCUCUAGGCUGGGAAUCAGAAGAUCUGGGUUCAAGUCCCAGCUCUGCUACUUACUGGCCAUGUGACCUUGAGCCAAUCACUUAACCUCUUUGAGUCUUAGAUUCUUCAUCUGGAAAAUGGAGACAGUAACUCCUGACUUUCCUACCUUGCAGGAUAGCUGAUAUAUGUAACAUGAGUCAUGGACGUUGACUUCAAAUAUUAAUAAUAUUGAUAAAUAUUGAAACAGCUUUGCAAACUGGCAUGAACUCAGAGGAGGUUAGACUGCACAUAAAAUGAAUCUAUCUGAGAGCAAAUAUCAAUUUAGAUAAAAGCACUUCCAUGACCCAUGUUCAUUCAGGCCAUCACCAAUGGUUUCGUUUUGUAGUUAGGCAGCUUACACAUGUGUAUUACUCGUUUAAGCAGGGCAAUGUGCCCCAUUAAGCUUGCUGUUCUCCUUAGGCAGAGAUUACUUCCUCCCCUUCCUUGGCAACUCUCCAUAGUGCUUAGUUGUUCUUUAGCUGUCAUCUAUAUUUCACCACAUAGUGAUGGCUCUCAUCUAAGAUCCACGCACUGUUGUUGACUUAGAAAUAUGCAGAGUUUUCUGAAUUUUUGGAUUAUAAUUUCACUGGGACAAAUACUGAGGGUAAGCAGGUAUCUAUACAAAAAUAUAAUGGGCACCUGAUGGACAAGCUGCCUGGUAGAGGUGACCCAGACCAGGCUGGUUUUUUGGUGGGAAAGCAUUGCUUCUGCAGAGGAACUUAGACACAGGUUUUCAUCCCUUCCUCACUUUUCACUCCCCAUACAGACAAGGCUCUCUUUAAGGAGACUGGGACAGAGUCUAAUAAAACUGAGACACCUCAGUCAUCUUUAUCCACACUGAGUGCAUAUUGGGAGGGUAAUCUUGAACCCUGUGGUGAUCAAAGGGCCCACACCUGGGGAAACUCUCCCCACACCCACCCCCAGAUGCCAUAUAGGUAAUGACAGAGACCCCUAUUAUUAUGGCUUACACAGAGGUGAGAAGGAGAGCUAAAAGAAGCUCAGUUUUGCUUGGAGUUUCUAAAAUGCUGACAUCUUCUAGAGAAACAAGAAGAUGUUUCAACAGUGACCAUGAACUACGGGUUGUUCUAGAAACACACCCUCAGUGCCUGGGGAGGACAUAGGCAUGACCUCUGGGAAGGGGUGAGGGACGUUAACACAACUUGGGAAAUGGGUGGGAGGCCAAUGACUUGGCUCUCUAAUAUCAGGUUGGGUAAGGCCUUGGUUUGCAUACUCACUCUGGCCACCCUUCAAAAGUGGAAACUGUGAAGAGGGCCAUCAUAGCCGCCAGAACAUUGUCAAAGUCAAACUUGCUGUUCUCCCAGCUGCGGGGCUGGAUGAUAGGGUGGUCAACCUCCCCAUCCUUGUACGUGAUGUAGUUACCCCUGAGAGAGGAGAGAAAGAGUUCAUUUUGAGGUCUCCCAUCUCUCCUCACACUUGGCCCAACAAUGACUCCCAGCAUGCUGGGUGGGAUGGGACUGGCUAGGUUUAAACCCCACAGUUCUAGCCAUUGGGAAGAGCUUUGUGGAUAGACCCUUUAGGAACAGAAAAUGUUGUAUGUCAUGUCAUAGAGUAGAGACCAGAUUGCAUAUGGGUAAAAGUCCAGCAGCCUCUGCUGUUUGAGAAAGAAUGGGCAGCCCCUCCUCUCAUGCCAAGUCACCGGCCUCCCAAAGUUAAUUAGUCUUGGUGCUGGCUGCCCUCUGGCCUGUACUCACUUGCAUUCUGCCUCGGUCUGCUUGGAACUAUCUGAACAGGUGUAGAGCUUUCCCUGGAAGACAGAACAAAAUGAUUGGAGUUAUUCGUUAAUCAACGAAUCAAUUCAAAACAAAAACAAAAAACAAAAACCAUGGAUUAGUGAGCAUCUAUAUAGCCCAGCAAUGUUCUUGGGAUUGUGGGAUAAAAAGCUUAAGAAACAUAGAAUCUAGUUGAGGAAGACAUGACUCACAUAUAUAAAGCAGUCAAUGAAUGAAGACACUCAGUGCUGCAAGUACUGUUAGGAUUAAAAAAAAAGGGAACACCAAUGCAAGACAGCUGGCAUCUCUAGGAAGGUCUUGUGAGGAGGGUGUAAGAGGAGCUGGCUUGGAGGGACGGAUUAUGUGGGCAGGAAGUCUGUGGAAGGUUACAUGGAGAGAGGUGAGGCGGAAGAACGGCAGAAUUAAAAAGAUACGGCAAAAACAGCAGAAAUCAAGGAAGACAGUGGCUGCAUUGUAGCUGAGGGCCUGGCCAGGAAGGAGUGGGAGAUAACCUGGACAGAUGCAGGGUCUCAAAAGAUAGGUGGAGAAGGGUGGAGUUUAUGCCGUUGAUAACAGGGAAUUGCUGUAGAUUUUAGGUAGGUGACUGACUUGAAGGAUUCCAAGCAUGGAAGCCUCUCUCCCUUUCUUGCUAGAAGGAAGGGCAGGGACCAAAAGGACAGGCAAAGCUGAGAAGAGGAGGUGCCUUUGGCCUGGUGGAGCAAUGCCUUCUUCCAGGGUAUUCCCUCCUGGGUUUGGGAUGCUGAGUGUAGGGCUGUGGUUGGAGGCAGCUCUCCUUUUUUUUGUUGUAUCUCCAGUUCCUUUCUAUUAUGAAUUGUGUCCCCCAAGCAGGUAUGCUGAAGUCCUAACCCCUCACUAAUGAAUGUGACCUUGUUUAGAGAAAUAGGGUUUUUCUUUGUGGAUAUUGUCAGUAAAGUUAAUGAAGUCAUAUCGGAGUAGGGCGAAUCCUAAUCCUAAUUCCUUCUGAAUGGCAUUUUAUAGAAAAGAAGGCCAGACAUGGAGACAGAGACACAUGCAGGGGGAAGACAGAUGCCAUGUAAUGACAGAGCCAGAUGCAUCAAUAAGGAGCAAAGGAACACCGAGGAUUGCCCGCAGCUCCCAAAACUAGGAGAGAGGCAUGAAAUAGUUCCUCUCUGAAAAUUCCCAGAAGGAAUUGACAUGACUGAUACCCUGAUUUGGACUUCUAGCCCCUAGAACUGUGAGACAAUAAAUUCUUGUUCUUUAAGGCCACCCAGUAAUUAUCAAUGCAUCUUGACUGCAUGUUUGAUUAAUUUCAGACUGCAGAAGUAGGUGAAAAUCUUCAAUUUCUUCCUCCUUGGCAUUAGUGGUUGGUGCAGGAAUUUGAGUACUAGCCGUAUUAACUGGUCUUCCUUGUAGGCGUAUGGGUAUUAUCCUGUCACUGACAGCAUUCUACUUCAGGAUAGAUCAUGAAAUGUUCUUUUUGAUGAUGAAUGAGACAUUAUUCCUCUUCAAUUUGUCAUUUCUGGCAUAGUAGACCGUAUGAUUGUCUGAUUCAAAAUGGCCAGCACCAGUCCAUUUCAGCUCACUAAUGCCUAGGAUAUUGAUCCUUACGCAUUCCAUUUCAUUUUUGACGACUUCCAAUUUUCCUAGAUUCGUACUUCAUGUGUUCCACAUUCCAGUUAUUAAUGGAUGUUUGCAGCAGUUUCUUCUCAUUUUGAAGUUGUGCCACAUCAGCAAAUGAAGGUCCCGAAAGCUUGGCUCCAUCCAUGUUGUUAAGGUUGACUCUGCUUUGAGGAGGCAGCUCUUCCCUGGUCUGAGUGCCUUCCAACCUGGGGGCUCAUCUUCCAGCUCUGUAUCAGGCAAUGCUGCAUUGCUGUUCGUAAGGGUUUCACUGGCUAUUUUUUCUCAGAAGUAGACUGCUGGGUCCUUCUUUCUAGUCUGCCUCAGUCUGAAAGCCCUGCUGAAACCUGUCCACCGUGGGUGACCCUGCUGGCAUUUGAAACACCAGUAGCAUAGCUUCCAGCAUCACAGCAACACACAAGUCACCACAGUACGUGAUAAACUGACAGAUGAGAUUGAUACAGUGGCUGCAACAAUGGACACAAACAUAGCAAUGAUUGUGAGGAUUGUGCAGGACCUGGCAGUGUUUUGUUGUACAUAGGGUCGCUAUGAGUCAGAGCCGACUCGAUGGCACCUAACAACAACAAAAACAACAACAAGAAAGCCACCCACUUUGCGGUAUUUUGUUAUGGCAGCCCUAGGAAACCAAGAUACCUCCCCUGGGGGUACUGACGGGAGGGGAAGGAAGCAGGACCACAAAUCAGGGCCUUGAACUUACCUUGAAGAGCUGGACCCCGAUGCAGGCGAACAUGAACUGCAGGAGCGUGGUGACAAUCACAAUGUUCCCGAUGGUCCGGAUGGCAACAAACACACACUGAACCACGUGCUGCAGUGGGAAGAGGGUCAAGGUCAGGGGACAUGGCUUCAGGAGGUGCCUGCAGCCUCAGUCUCCUCUGCUCAAGCCAUGAGCCUCUCUGGGGGAGGUGCCCCCUUUGCCAUAAGUGGGGGAAAUCAGGCUCAAAAAAGGCAAAGUAAGGUUCCCAGAGUCACAUGUUGAGUGAUUGAUGGAAACCAAAGGAACUCGAAGUCCCCCACUGGGCUCGAGGUGACAUCAGGGAUAAAGAGCCCUGCUAAGUUUCCAUUUUUGCAGUAGGGAUAUAGGAAUAGUUCCUCUGUUCAAUGUGGGGCACUAGGUUUGUGUGAGGGUCUCCCCUUUGCAAGUGUUUUACUUGGGGCUCAGGUUCUAAAUGGCUGCCGCCUCUGUCAUUAUUCUGUUCUGCUUGGAACCAGGCCUUAAGUGGGACCAGAGGUGCAGGCAGGCAGAGUUCAGGCUCCAACAUGGCAGCCUGACCACUGUCUCCUCCCUCCAGCCCACCCCUCACCUCUACUGAAUUUCCACCAACCAACUGACCAGCUGAUGUUUGUUGGUCCUGCAGGUGGCCCCUGCCUAGGCUCAGGCCCAGGCCCACCUGUCUCUCACCUUUAGCCCCUUGGCCCUGUUGAUGGCCCUCAGGGGCCUGAGUACCCGCAGAACUCUCAGGAUCUUCACAACGUUGAUUGCACUGGACCUGAGAGAGAGAAACAGGGCAGGGUAUUAGCCUCUCCUGUUUUUAGUGGAGCAGGAAGGAGUGUGGUGACGGGGAUUCCUGACAGGGCUAUUCCAAGGCAAACUUGAGAAACCGUAAAGUCUGCUCAGGGCUUUUCCAUCCUAGAACCAUUAUCUACCCCCACCCCCUUCCUCUAAGAACUCAGAGCUUGCCUGCGACCCUGGGACUUCCCUGUGGGUGAGUAAAUAAUACGAAAAACAAUUUUUAUUAUUAUGCCGAGUGAAGGCAUCAUUGAACGUAAAGAAUAAUAUACUGAUGGGGAACUCCAGGUCUUGUGACUGGCAGGUGGUGGGUGCUGGGAGUGGUGACGACAUGAGUUAUUAAUAACUCUCCAUGAGUUAUUGGCGAUAUAAUGAGCUGCUCAGGGGAUACCUAUGGUGUCAAGGAGACUUAGAGCAAGGCAAACCUGAAUUCGAACCCCAGUGUUGCCAUUUCCUAGCCAAGUCACUAAGGAGAAACUUUCUAGCUUUUCUCAGCCUUAGUUUCUUCAUCUGUAAAAUGGGGGCAGUCAUCGCCUCGUAAGGUUGUUGUAAGGAUUAAAUGAGAAAUGUAUGAGAACCAACUAACAAUAUGCUUGGCACGUAUCAUGAACCCAAUAAACAGUAGCUUUUAUUAUUAUGGAGUCCCUGCAUGGUAUAAACGGUUAGUGCCCUCGGCUGCUAACAGAAAGGUUGGAGGUUUGAGUCUACCCAAAGGCCUGGUAAUCAUACUUCCAAAAAAUCAGCCAUUAAAAACCCUAUGGAGGAAUGGUCUGUACAUAGCAGGUUCCACACAGCUGAGAUGCCAGGACCAAGUCAGAAUUUUGGGGAGCUUUAGGCCAUUGCUUCUCCCUAUUGGGAAGGAGGCACCAGUGGGCAUGUUACCCACAGCCCCCUUGGCAAGAUGCUGGGAUCAUUUCUGGAGUUAUCUGUUCACCUUCAGGGUCAGGGACGGGGGCAUUCUAGCCACGCCAGGUUUGUGAGUAACUCUGAAGUUUAUCCCAACCUUCACACACUAUCUCUGACUGAGAUACCCUCUCAAGGUUUUGGAGAGCCUUAUGUCUACCUUGGGACCUAAAAAAUGUAUGACACAUCAGCAAGUGCAGAUUUCAUUCUUCAUGUGGCCAGGAUGGUGUGCUCAAGAGAGAGAAAGAUCUGAUUUCUUUGGUUCAUGGUCCUUUUAUCCCAAAAGAUUCAAAGGGCACUCUUAUCUACCACUGCAUCCUAUCCCAAAGGAUCUCAGGGAGGGAGUCAGCUUGCAUUGAGCCACAAUUGGAAGGGAUUUAAAGGUCAGAUGGGGGAAGGCACAGACUAAAGAGGGGGGACUCUUGGCUCAAGGUUGAAUAGUGAUUUAUUAGCAGUGCUGGGAUUAGAAUCUAGACCUGUAGGCUCCCAGACAGAAAGUCUUGGGUAAUAUAAUUGAUGACCACAGAAAAGAGACUGAUUCCUAAAGCCCCUAUGUGCACCCCACCUUAGCUCACCAUAAAAAUAACCCUUGGGAAGGGAAAUCCAUGACCCCUGGGUCUUAAGCUUUUUUCUGUUAUUGGUAUGACCUUGGACAAGUCUUAUAAUGUCCCCAAACUCAAUUUUCCCAUCUAUAAAAUGGUGAUAACAACACUUGCCCUGGCUCCCUCAUAGGUUUUUCGUAAGGACCACAUAUGUAAGGAUGUGCCCGUGAAAGUGCUUUGGAAGUUUAAGUACAGGAUUAUCACUAUCAGUUGCUGGAACUUGGUAGCAACUCGUAAUCAGAUCAAUUU